rnacentral:rRNA from 1 species
AUACAGAGGGUGCAAGCGUUAAUCGGAUUUACUGGGCGUAAAGCGCGCGUAGGUGGCUAAUUAAGUCAAAUGUGAAAUCCCCGAGCUUAACUUGGGAAUUGCAUUCGAUACUGGUUAGCUAGAGUAUGGGAGAGGAUGGUAGAAUUCCAGGUGUAGCGGUGAAAUGCGUAGAGAUCUGGAGGAAUACCGAUGGCGAAGGCAGCCAUCUGGCCUAAUACUGACACUGAGGUGCGAAAGCAUGGGGAGCAAACAGGAUUAGAUACCCUGGUAGUCCAUGUCGUAAACGAUGUCUACUAGCCGUUGGGGCCCUUGAGGCUUUAGUGGCGCAGCUAACGCGAUAAGUAGACCGCCUGGGGAGUACGGUCGCAAGACUAAAACUCAAAUGAAUUGGCGGGG